rnacentral:sRNA from 1 species
GAAAAAGCUACAAAAGUUGUGUUGACUAC